rnacentral:lncRNA from 1 species
UUUUUUUUUUUUUUUUUUUUUGCUUACUCCAAUUGUUUUCUAUUCAUUUAUGUCAUAAUUGGGGGGAAGACUAAUAUAUUCUUUUUUCCUAAAAGAACAACUUGAAUAUUACUAUUAUUUUGCCUUUCAUCUGAUUGGGAAACUUCCCUUUUAUUUCCUUUUUCCCAAACCAAACUUCCCUUCAUUCAUAAGAAACAAAUUGUUUUCCAAAUACCCAAUGGGAGAUGUGUAAAAAUAAUUAUAUUUGUUUUCCAAAUCCAUAUAUAUGGCAGAAACCAAUAUAUAACAACUUCUGCCACUCACAUAAACAUUAGUAAAUGGACAACACAGAAUUAGGAGAAACACGUCUCUUGAAAAUGGGCCAUCAAACCACGACGAGUUACUCUCUCUCUCUCUCUUUCUCUCUUUCUCCAAUUCUGUGUUUACGUGAUAUACCCUCAGCUGUCUCAAUCCCUUUUUCAAUGGACUUUAUUUGACAUAUCUUACACCCGGCCCCCAUGCAGUUAUUAUAAUUAUUUAUUUCUCGUGGUCAAACCGACGUAUGCAUGUGAUUUUUAGGAGGGUAUUUUCCUUUUUGAAAAACCUUUCAAACCCUCAAUUAUAUAUCCUCCUUCAUGCUCUUAAAUUUCCUUGUUAUUGAAACAGAUCACCAAUAAUAAGUGUUUUCCCAAUUUGGUUUUGCAUUGCCAUGGCUGGCCAGCUUGGAAGGAUUGAGGACCACUGGAGGGUCCUUUUGCCUUCCACACUCAUCUCUUCUUUACCUUCCUCUUCUCUACUUGUUCUCUUCUUUUUGCCUUUCACAUGGAUGCUGUCAUUAACUAGCAUAAUCUGCUUGCAAACUAACUCAAAUUAGCCAACAAAUUUUCGUAGCUUCAACCCAAGAAAAUGUGGAGGGAACAUGUGUAAGAUAUAUCACAUAAAACAAUUAUAUAAUUUAUGUCGAAUUUGGCAUUUGAAGUUGUGUUUGCAAGGAGAAAUAUGGAAAUAACUGUUGACCAAUAAUAGUUGCUCCAAUGUGAUGUCAUGGUGAAUGCUUGAACGUAUUUGUCAACCCUAUAAAAUUCCACAUUUACACGUCCGCUCACCUGAUGGCGAAAGAACCCCACCAUCAUAUGCUGAAAUAUGGCACCACUAGCAGCACCAGGUAGCCAAAGACAUAUCUCAACUUAGCAGAAGGAGUAAAUUGUUGUACAAUCCAAAUUGAAUUCUCGGGUCUGGUGUUGAGAUGUCCACACUCUCCGUCCCUGCCCCCUAUCCACGAAUUCCCCUCGCGCUCCUAUCCCGUUACUAUCCAACGAAUUUCAUGGAUAUCUCUAGUCAAGUGGCGGCAAUGAGACAUCGACGUCCAAAGGUUUCUUUCAUUUCAUCAUCAUUAUAUAUCAUUAUAUGUCAUUUUAAUGUUAGUAAUUUAAUUUUUAAUACCUUGUUUAUAAUUCAUUGAUUUAAAUCAUUAGGUAAGUUAGAAACGGAUAGGAUAGCAAUACAAAAUCUUCAAUUUUUUCUUCACAUUUCAUUCUCUAUGAAGCAAAAGAAAAAAACAAAAAAAGUCAAAUCCUUUCCUUAUAUUCUUUUCUAAUUUUUCAUUUUCUUAAUCUAUAUUUUUAAAUAAAUGUAUUUUUCUUUUUUUGUGUAUAAUUUCAUUUAUAUAUGUUUAAAUUAUGGAGCAACCCUGAGAUUAUUUCUAGACUGCCUUCUAAAUGCAUACAUUUUAUUUUAUUAAUCCAUAAACUUUAUAUCUUGUUCUAGUUUGGUUCCUAAAUUUUUAAAGGUAUUUGAACUUUUGAAGAAAAAAAAACUUACUUUUGUCUCUAUCAUUUAAAUUUUGUUGACUUUUGUGAUGAUGUGAUUUUUAUAUUUGGAUGAUCAAAUUUUAGAUUAUUCAUCACAUUAAUUGAAUUGGUAAACAAAAAUUCUAGUAAUGUUUCCAUGAAGGUUAGAGGGUUUUCUAACUUUUUCUUACAUAUAAAUAAUAGUUAAAAAUUAAAAUCUAUAAUUUAAACAAAAAAAUUCCAUCACAAUUCGCCCUCUAUAAUACUUUUACUUUCUUUCUACACUAAUUUCUAGCAAACAGAUUUUACACCCAACAACACUUGAAAACAAAAACUCUAUCCCAACCGAUAUCCAUUUUAGUUGCACAAUAACCGCUUGCAAGCAUAUAACUCAAUAGCAGUAAUCACAAGCAAGGCACAGACAAUGAAAUAAAUAUACCCUUUCCUCCCAUUCUCAACAACGCUAAACUGAUCGAGCAUAAACAUCCUCUCGUGGAAACUCAAUUCAAAUCCAUCACAACAUUCUCCACCCUCCAUAGAUAGAUCCACAGUGUCCUGGUUUUGAGCUACCAAAAUUUGUUGGCAAAUUUCAGUAAGUUCCUUCCGAAUUAUGCCGAGUUGAUCGUGUGUUCGAGAUAACAUAACGACAGCAUCCAUGAAAAGCAAAAGGUAGAGGAAGGUAGAGAGCAGAGUUAAAGACAAAACGACCCACCAAUCCUUACACUUGAAGGAGAAAGAAAAGCCAAAGAAGAAGAGGCGUCCCCAAGAAAGGUAACCAAGAACAAUGUUUUGAAGUUUGGUUUCACAGUAACGAAGGCUUGUUUCUUGGUUGUCAUUAAUAUGUUUCAGUAACACAAAAUUCUUCCUCAAAUCUCCAAGUUGAGCCAUGGCAAUGGAACCAGAUUGGAAUUUAGGAGAAGGAUUGAAAAAGAAAGGGGAUUGAUUGGAUUGUGUAUAUCUCUGAAAGGAAUGACUUGGAAAUGAAUAUACGAGAAAUGAGCUUUAUAGUGAAAUUUUGAUAGGAAAAUGGUGGCAAACGUGGGGUCCUCUCGUAGGAUAAUGGUUGAAAAAGAUGAAAUAGCGGCAGAAAAAGGAAUUUAGAUUGGAGGGAGGAAGCUUCCUAAAGGCAUGACGCCAACUCUGAGCUUUGACGGAGGAGGUAAAAUUGUGUAGAGAUAACAAUACAACAAUAGCCAUUUUGAUAGUCCACAACUCCAACAAAACAAAUGGUUAAGAAAGAAAAUGGUUGGCAAUGAACAGGAAAAAAAGAAAAAACCCUUUUCAUUCACAGGUUUGAGUAUAUUACUUCCACUGAGUUUUUGUUUCAUCUACAAAUUUGAAAAUGUUAAAAAAUUUAAUUUGUGUUUUAUCUCUUUUUUGGUUCUUUUAAAUUUCAAGAUUUACCUUUUUACUCUUCACUUUUUAAUUAAAUUACUAUCUCUAAUUUUCAUAUCACAAUCAAUUAAAAUGUCCAUAUCAUAACUAUUUAAAACUUAUGUAUAGAAAGUUAAUGCCAAAGUGACGGUUGGAAGGAAAAGGUGUAGUAAGAGAUAUGAG